rnacentral:rRNA from 1 species
CCUAACACAUGCAAGUCGAACGGUAACAGGAAGAAGCUUGCUUCUUUGCUGACGAGUGGCGGACGGGUGAGUAAUGUCUGGGAAACUGCCUGAUGGAGGGGGAUAACUACUGGAAACGGUAGCUAAUACCGCAUAACGUCGCAAGACCAAAGAGGGGGACCUUCGGGCCUCUUGCCAUCGGAUGUGCCCAGAUGGGAUUAGCUAGUAGGUGGGGUAACGGCUCACCUAGGCGACGAUCCCUAGCUGGUCUGAGAGGAUGACCAGCCACACUGGAACUGAGACACGGUCCAGACUCCUACGGGAGGCAGCAGUGGGGAAUAUUGCACAAUGGGCGCAAGCCUGAUGCAGCCAUGCCGCGUGUAUGAAGAAGGCCUUCGGGUUGUAAAG